rnacentral:tRNA from 1 species
UUUAAUAUGGCAGAAUAGUGCAAUGAAUUUAAGAUUCAUAUAUAAAGAUAAAUCUUUUAUUAAAA